GACGAACGCUGGCGGCGUGCUUAACACAUGCAAGUCGAACGGGAUUUAGUAGACAGAAGCCUCGGCUAAAGAUUACUAAUGAGAGUGGCGAACGGGUGAGUAACGCGUGAGCAACCUGCCUAUGACAGUGGGAUAGGCUCGGGAAACCGGGAUUAAUACCGCAUAAAAUGGUAGAAAAACAUGUUUCAACGUUAAAAGCUUUAUCGGACAUAUCCGGGCGCGCGUCUGUUUAGCUAGUUGGUGAGAGAACAGCCCACCAAGGCGACGAUCAGUACCCGGUCUGAGAGACUGAACGGACACAUUGGAGCUGAGACACGGUCCAAACUCCUACGGGAGGCAGCAGUGGGGAAUAUUGCAAAAUGGGGGAAACCAUGAUGCAGCGACGCCGCGAGAACGAAGAAGGUAUUCGUAUCGUAAAGUUCUGGCCUAUGGGAAGAUAAUGACAGUACCAAAGAAGAAAGCUCCGGCUAAAUACGUG
rnacentral:rRNA from 1 species